GGACUACCGGGGUAUCUAAUCCUGUUUGAUCCCCACGCUUUCGCGCCUCAGCGUCAGUUGUCGUCCAGAUAGCCGCCUUCGCCACCGGUGUUCCUCCUAAUAUCUACGUAUUUCACCACUACAUUAGGAAUUCCGCUAUCCCCUCCGACACUCCAGCUUUACAGUUUCAAAGGCAGUUCUUGGGUUGAGCCCAAGGAUUUCACCCCUGACUUGAAAAGCCGCCUACGCGCGCUUUACGCCCAGUGAUUCCGAACAACGCUAGCACCCUUCGUAUUACCGCGGCUGCUGGCAC
rnacentral:rRNA from 1 species